CCCUUAGAUGUUCUGGGCCGCACGCGCGCUACACUGAUUCAUGCAACAAGUUUUGUCCUUGGCUGAUAGGCCUGGGUAAUCUUUGAACGUGAAUCGUGAUGGGGAUAGAUGAUUGCAAUUAUUCAUCUUCAACGAGGAAUUCCUAGUAAACGCAAGUCAUCAGCUUGCAUUGAUUACGUCCCUGCCCUUUGUACACACCGCCCGUCGCACCUACCGAUUGAAUGGUCCGGUGAAAUCUCGGGACGGCGGCUUGGUCGCUUGCGUCCGACUGCUGAAACUUGAUUAAACCAUACCAUUUAGAGGAAGGUGAAGUCGUAACA
rnacentral:rRNA from 1 species